AACGAACGCUGGCGGCACGUUUUAAGCAUGCAAGUCGAAUGGCAGCAGGGGGCAACUCUGUGAGAAUGGCGAACGGGUGAGUAACACGUAGGUGAUCUGCCUUGAGGAUGGGGAUAGCCUGUGGAAACACAGGGUAAUACCGAAUGAGCUGACAAGACUUUGGUUUUGUUAGUAAAGGUGCUACGGCACCGCCUUGAGAGGAGCCUGCGGCUGAUUAGCUAGUUGGUGGGGUAAGAGCUUACCAAGGCGACGAUCAGUAGCCGGCCUGAGAGGGUGUACGGCCACACUGGAACUGAGACACGGUCCAGACUCCUACGGGAGGCAGCAGCUAAGAAUCUUCCGCAAUGGGCGAAAGCCUGACGGAGCGAUGCCGCGUGAUCGAUGAAGGUCGAGAGAUUGUAAAGAUCUUUUCUACAUGAGGAAUAAGUCUGGGAGGGAAUGCCCGGAUGAUGACGUUAGUGUAGGAAUAAGCCCCGGCUAAUUACGUGCCAGCCGCCGCCGUAA
rnacentral:rRNA from 1 species